rnacentral:rRNA from 1 species
GUGGGGAAUAUUGGACAAUGGGGGGAACCCUGAUCCAGCCAUGCCGCGUGUGUGAAGAAGGCCUUUUGGUUGUAAAGCACUUUAAGCGAGGAAGAGGCUACCGAGAUUAAUACUCUUGGAUAGUGGACGUUACUCGCAGAAUAAGCACCGGCUAACUCUGUGCCAGCAGCCGCGGUAAUACAGAGGGUGCAAGCGUUAAUCGGAUUUACUGGGCGUAAAGCGCGCGUAGGUGGCCAAUUAAGUCAAAUGUGAAAUCCCCGAGCUUAACUUGGGAAGUGCAUUCGAUACUGGUUGGCUAGAGUAUGGGAGAGGAUGGUAGAAUUCCAGGUGUAGCGGUGAAAUGCGUAGAGAUCUGGAGGAAUACCGAUGGCGAAGGCAGCCAUCUGGCCUAAUACUGACACUGAGGUGCGAAAGCAUGGGGAGCAAACAGGAUUAGAUACCCCGGUAGUCC